rnacentral:lncRNA from 1 species
GUACUAGAACACCACCUCCUGCUCAAACCGUAGAGCAAUCAAUCACCAAUGGCCCCCAAGCCUGCCCUCUUCCUUGCCCUCGGCCUCCUCUUCGCUGUUGCCGCCCAUGGCUGCACACCCUACUGCCCCGGUCCAGUCGUCCCUACGCCGCCGGUCGUGCCGACGCCGUCCCACGGCCACGGCGGGCGCUGCCCGAUCGACGCGCUGAAGCUGAGGGUGUGCGCUAACGUUCUGGGCCUCGUCAAGGUCGGCCUACCCCAAUACGACCAGUGCUGCCCCCUGCUGCAGGGGCUCGUCGACCUCGACGCCGCCGUCUGCCUCUGCACCGCGAUUAAGGCCGAUGUCCUCGGCAUCCACCUCAACUUGCCCGUCAGCCUCAACCUCAUCCUCAACAAGUGCGGCAAGAUUUGCCCGGCCGACUUCACCUGCCCUCAGUAAGAUGGAGAGCUGAUGUAGCAGAAGUACCCAUCCACGGAACAUACUCUCGUACUCACGCGAUUCCAACUUUUACUUCAUUGCUUUGCAAUGGCGAGAUGUUGCAUGUGAUCGAACAAGUUUGUUGUAAUUCUUUUGCUGUAUGUUUGCAUGGUUCGUAUACCGUUUUAAAUUGCCAAUAAGAAAUGUUCAUCUUUUUAGAGAAAGAGGAAAGAAUUGUUCAUGAUCAGUCAGUAUGUAAGAACUACAUAUGAUCCGAACUUCUGUGACAGUGAUUUUCGGAGGUUUAUGUUUGAUUUUGUUCUGGAUUUUUUUUUUGCAAACUGAGUGGGACGCACCAGAUUCAAGUACAUGUCGUCUACGACAUGAUAUGUGCUCCCACCCUACCGGAAAAAAAUCUACGUAACCCCCCAAGGUAGAUGGUGGCUCACUUCACCCCUAACCUGCAAAACCAGGUUUUUUACACCAUAAAUUAGCGAAAACCAUUUAUAUAACCUCCUAAGGUGGUUUUGUAGCCCGGUUUUGCUGAUUUGGCAUACCACGUUGGAUGGAAGUGACACCUUAUCAUUUGGGUCCACUUAUCAGUUUUUUUUAUUCAUCCACACCUCUCUAGCUCUCUUCCCCAUUCUACAUAUCCGUUCGCAACGCGAGAAAGCCUGGCCAUGGCCGACGGAGGCCUGCCGCGCUGCACAGGGAUGGGGGAUGGGAUGGCGUGGCGCUUCCAUUUGUAGGCUCGUCGGUGCUUAUUGAGCCAGCGGCGGAGGGAAGGGCAGCAGCAGGAGGAGCGCUCGCGUCAUCAUACCUCGAUUUGCCAUGGAUUAUCUCUACUCUUUAGCUUUCAGGCUGUGCUUCGAUGAAUUUUGCUGGCCCUAGCCACCGGCUACCAUGGUUGGUAUCUGAUUUGAGCUAAGAAAGAAGAAACCACCAUGGCAUUAGUCACGUUGAUGACCCACUCUAGUCUCCUCCCAUGAAACGCUAAUCCUAGCAACUAGCAAGCGGCAUGCGCAGGUAGUUGGCGUGAUGCUCGUUGCUCGAACUUGCAGCGCGGAGGUGGAUGCACGCCAAGGAGCCAAGGAGCAAGAGAGGAGGCGACGGGCGCCGCGCGGCAGCCGAGCAGCUGUGCAGGUCCAGUGGCGGGCAGAGCAAACGGUGCUCAUCGCACCACUCAGCAUGGCAAGGAGGAGCCGUGCCGCAAGCCAGCUAUAUGGAUGGCGGCGGUGCACUGCAUGGGGGCGGCGCUGGGUGCCUCGGACCGGCCGGUGCGGUACCAGAUGAUCGGUGCGAGACUCCGUGGAGGCGCAUAAAUGGAGUGGUACAGUAUGUCGUCGCUGGCGAUAAUGAGGUGGUCACAGCUCGUUGGGGACGACGCAAGCGACCAGGGUGAUGAGCUUGUGGAAGCGGAGGAACACGAGGGACCAGCGGGACAGCGGCCGAUCAAGCGGGACCCACGUCUCCGGGUCCAUGUCAGCAAUUUGGUCCACUUAGCAUGCCAACAUGGCUAAACCACUCUACAAAACCACUAUAGGGGGUAAUUUAAAUGGUUUUGUAAAGGUGAGGGGUUAAAAACCCGGUUUCAUACCUUAGCAUGCCAACAUGGCUAAACCACUCUACAAAACCACUAUAGGGGGUAAUUUAAAUGGUUUUGUAAAGGUGAGGGGGUUAAAAACCCGGUUUCAUAGUUGAGGGGGUGAUGUAGUCGACCAUUGAUAUGUAGACUUUUUCUAAAAAAACAAUAAGAUUGGACGGUGCCUACCGCUGUGGUUAAGACUUAGGUCCUGUUUGGCACGGCUCCACUCCUAAACUCCAGCAACUCCAUCAAAAAAUUCAGCCAAACACCCCAACUCCAAAACUCCAUGGAGUUGCCAACUCCAUGGAGCUGUAGUGCAAAUGGAGGUGGAGUUCUGGAGCACCUCUUUUGCUACUCCAGAAACCUCUCUUUGAACCUCCUCGUGGAGUUGGUGGGUAAUUACCCACCAAUACCACUGGUUACACAAAAAAACGUUUCAUUCUAUUCUCCUGAGCCCCACUCACCGCCAGAGCCCCGCCCGUCGCCGCCCCCGUGGCCGGCCGGCCCCGCCGCCCGUCGCCACCCCGCCGCCCGGCGACACCCGUCGCCACCCCCGUGGCCGGCCGACCCCGCCGCCCGUCGUUGCCCGUCGCCGCUCGCCGUGCCCGUCGCCCGUCGCCGCCCGCCGCCCGUCUAUUCUCCUGAGCCCCACUCGCCGCCAGAGCCCCGCCCGUCGCCGCCCCUUGCCGCCCCGUUGCCCGUCACCGCCCGUCGCCGCCCACCGCGCCCGUCGCCGCCCCAGUCGCCGCCCACCCCGCCGCCCGUGGAGGGUCUCCCGUGUGCGGCACAGUGCAGUGAAAAAAGGGGAAGAAGAAGAUAGGAUAGAGAGGAUGACAAGUGGAGCCUUAAUUGGGGGGCAACAAUGGCAAUCCACACUGAAAUCGAUAUUUUUUGGAGCUGAGAGCACCCAUCUAGCCAAACAUCCCAUUUUUGUUUUGAAGUUUUGGAGCGGAGCUGGCUCCAUGUGGAGUUCUGGAGUGGAGCAGCUCCACCUGGAGUUGGAACCAUGCCAAACAGGGUCUUAAUAGGGCGAACAUGCAUGCAUAUAUGACGACAAGCUGAUUGUUUGUCUAGUCUUGAGCUUCCCUUGCUGGCUUGCUCUAAUUUCACGUUUGAGUAAAAUGCACCACAUGUACCUUAACUUGUUCCGCUGUGAUGCAUUUCGGGUCCCUAAAGGGGUCCAUCUAGGUCCAAAACGCGCCACGUGAGCUUCGGACGCGGAUGUGGCAUGACAUCGUGGCGCCACGCUGACAAAUAUAUGAAAAGAACUCCUAAUUCCUGCAUCUCCUCUGCUCUCGGUUCUUCCAUGGCGCUCGGCGUCUGCAGCCGCGCGGCGGCCGGCAGGCCGACAUGGCUCGGGGCGCCUCUUGACUCAUGAGUGACAGGAAAGGUGGCUUCCGCAGUUGUGUACCUCUCUGCUGAGGCCCGCGCCGGCGAGCAAACGGGCGGACAGCGUGGGUAGGCGGCGACGUCGGCGAGCUGCGGCAGCGGGCGAGCAACACUGCUGGGAUGCGUGGCUGACGAGCCAUGUGGGCGGGCGAGCGAUGACGGCAGGUGAGUGGACGGCGCCGGCGGGCGAGCAACACGGCCGGGAUGCGUGGAAGUGGCGCGGGCGGGCAAGCAGCGCAGGAGGCGAGCUACAAUGGCGGGCGAGCAAGUGAACAAGGCCGGGAUGUGCGGCAGCAGCGUGGGCGGGAGAGCGCCGCGGCCGGGAUGAGCGGCCAGUGAGCCGUGCAGACGGGCGAGCGGCGCGGGCGAGCCGCGAGAUGCGACACGGGCGAGCGACAGGACCGGGGGGGCGCGGGUGCGCGAGCGGCGCAGGCGACGAGAUGCGACGACUGUCGAGCGAUGCGACCGGGAGGCGCGGUCGGCGAGCCGCACGGAUGGGCGAGCGGUGCAGGGGGCGAGAUGGGACGACGGGCGAGCGACGUGACCGGGAGGCGCGGUCGGUGAGCCGCGCGGGUUGGCGAAUGGCGCAGACGGCAAAACCGACGACGGGCGAGCGGACGGAAUUGCCGUCGAACUGCGAGGGGGCAAAUGAGGCGGCGGGCGAGCUACGAUGACGCGGCUGACGAGCGGAGUGGACGGGAUGUGCGGAAGACGAUACUGCUGUGCUCAAGGUCGUCGCCGGCCUUGUCCAAGUCGCAAACAUCAAUUAUUCCAUGGGAUUGAAGCUUUCUUGCAUCCACCGAGCUCGUCGUCAUGCCUGUUCCUGAGGAGAUGGUUUACAGAGCGGCGAGGAUGUCUUCUUUAAUGAGAGGGCAGAGGAGGAUAACGAGAGGACCUGGACUGAACGAUGAUAGGAAUUAGGGAUUGUUUUGCAUAUAUUUGUCAGCAUGGUGCCAUGGUGGCAUGCCACAUCCGCGUCCGAAGCGCAUUUGGAUUUGGAUGGACCUCUUUAUAGAGUUUAGGGACUUAAAAAUGUAUUUUAAAAAUAUAUUUUAGAAGUUUAGGAACCUGGUUGGCACAGCAGGACAGCAUGACAAGUUGAGGUACCUGUGAUGCAGCAUUUUACUCUUGUUCAAAUCAUGAGUUUCUUAUAUUGUUCGUCUGACCGUGGAGACUCUAAUCCAAGUGCUAACUUUCAUAAUUCCAUUCCAAACAUGUUACACAAGUCAAAGCACUAACACCAAGAUGUACUACAAUUUAAAAGUGAGUGCCAAGUCGGAGCUCACCCCCGCCUCUUCACUGACCAACCAGGGGUCUACCGUCACCCUUGCCGCCCCCGCCUUCUCGAUCGCUACCCAUUGCUCGCUACCUUUCCGUCCGGAACUUCCUCUAGGUCCGUCAACACAGGUACCUCCAAGCCCGAACCCUAAAGAGUUCAAUGGUGAACUCGUCAGAUUUGAAGAAGGGGAAAGUUGGGAGAGAGAAAGAUUCAGGUAUGGGGAGAUGGAAAAUGCUUGGGUGUGAUAUAGAUUUUCUCUUCAGGAAUAUUUUUUUUGCAUUGUGUUGUGUUGUAUUUUUUAUUUGUUUAAAAGUGUAUGAAUGGGCAGCAUUCCAUAAUCUACAACUCAUAAGUCAGGUUAGACUUGGAGUAGGCCUUGGGUAUUCAUAAUUCAUACUCAAAUUCACACCCACCUCAAAUUUGAAGGGUAUGGGUAGAAAAUUAUAUACCAUUAGAAAUGGGGAGAGUAGGGUAUGGGAAUGGUACAAUUUAUUCAGAAUAUAUAUAGUAUCUAGUACAAAAUUAAUUAUCCAUUGGAUAUGGGUGAGAACGGGGAGGGUGAAAAUUGGAUAAUAUAUAUUUGGAUUUGGGUACGAAUUGUCCAUACCCUCCCAAUGGUAGGCCUAACUUGGAGGGAUGGGUGGUAGCUGUGCUGUGCGCAAUAGUGGCUUCCAGAAAAAGAGUUGCGGUCUAGCACCUUUGAUUAGCAAGGUGGUAGUGGGCAGUCGCGGAUCUAGCGUUGAAGGAUUGUUGUUUGGUCAUGGAGGAGGUGGUGGGAGGGGGCCUCUACAAAAACGAUUUCACAUACGUCACGUCCUUUUUAUAGCAGUAGUCGAUCAGUAACGGUGAUGAUAGCCAUGGAGCUAGUACGCUAGGGCACCUAACCUGUGGACUGCGCAGUGAGAACAAGGGAGAUGAUACAUAAUGUUGCUCGAGGUCGGAGACCAUUAAUUUUUGAGUCGUUGAUGAUGUCUAUCUAGCUAGGGGUGGCUGAUCAGCUAGAUAGAUCAGCUAGUUAAGGUUUGGCUCGUUAUGGCUCAUUUUCAUUUGAUAAUGAGCCAGCUCGGCUUGGCUUGUUACAAUUGACAAGCUAAAAAUCGAGUUUGCCUCGGUUCGUUCGAAAGGUUCAAGCUGGUUUGUUUGGCUUUAGCUCACGAGCCAAGCAUCAUUCAACAUUAAAGUCAAGAUAAAUAUACUAUUAACCAAAAUAAAAAUUUAAAUGUGUCAAUAAUAUUUUAUUCUAAAAGUUUAGCUUAGGAUAUAUUUUAAAAAUAAAUAACAUUAAUCAAUAAAUUGGGAUAAUAUAGGUGUUUGGAAACUCAAAGUAAACUUAAUUAGCACUAUAUUUGACUUACAUGUUGAAUAACAAAUUUAUUUUAACCAAAUAAUAGUAAUACAAUUGUAUUCAUAAAGAAAAAGUUUGGUGUUAUCAUCUUUGUCGAGCUUAAUAUAAGCCAAUUGAACACCACACGAGAGGUUUAGAACCGGGAGAGGUUUAGAACCGGCUCAUUAAGAAAACGAGUUGAAACUGAGCCUUAGCUCGACUUGUUUAAAGGUCAAGCCGACCUAUGAACGAGUCGAGUCGGCUCCCGAACCUCGAACUUUUCAGCUAGUCUUAUGUCCAUCCUGGCUAGUUGUUUACGCGAGCACAAUGAUUAUCUCUCGGAGCAAAAUCGACCCAACUGUACUAUCAUAUUUCUACAUAAACAUAUCUAUCGAUGAUAUAGGAGCUAAGACCCAUCAAUAACUAGCUCACUGCGUAAAACUAGCAUGAUUGCUGAUCAACUUGCUUCUGCAUUUUCACAUGCCAAAAUGUUGUCCUGUCUCGCCCUCAUAACUGGCGCAUCAAUGGACAACCAAGCAACGUUCAACCCCAUCGAAUCACACACAUGCAUUGCUGCAUUCAUGCACGCAUAACGCCAAGCACGAUGGCAUCUUUCUCCCGUGAUCGAUCAGCUAUAAAAAGCCAUGCCAAACUCCUUGAGAAAACCAUCCCAAAAACACAUACGAGCACGCAGUAGCACAAGGUCACCACUAUCUUACUCACGAUCAGACGACUGCACUGAUCACCAAUGGCUGCCAAGCUCGCCCUCUUCCUGGCCCUGAGCCUCCUCUUCGCCGCCGCCGCGCACGGCUGCGCACCCUACUGCCCCGGCCCAGUCGUCCCGACGCCGUCCCACGGCCACGGCGGGCGCUGCCCGAUCGACGCGCUGAAGCUAAGGGUGUGCGCCAACGUGCUGGGCCUCGUCAAGGUCGGCCUGCCCCAGUACGACCAGUGCUGCCCCCUGCUGCAGGGGCUCGUCGACCUCGACGCCGCCGUCUGCCUCUGCACUGCGAUCAAGGCCGAUGUCCUCGGCAUCCACCUCAACGUGCCCGUCAGCCUCAACCUCAUCCUCAACAAGUGCGGCAAGAUCUGCCCGGCCGACUUCACUUGCCCUCCGUAAGAUGGGAGCUGAUGAAAUGAGCUAAACCCCAUCAUCCAAGGAACUAGGCUUGGGUCCU